GAUGAAGAACGUAGCGAAAUGCGAUACUUGGUGUGAAUUGCAGAAUCCCGUGAACCAUCGAGUCUUUGAACGCAAGUUGCGCCCGAAGCCAUCAGGUUGAGGGCACGUCUGCCUGGGCGUCACAUAUCGUUGCCCAAUGCCUAUUGCAGUGCAAUAGGAAUUUCUAGGGCGAAUGAUGGCUUCCCGUGAGCGUUGUUGCCUCGCGGUUGGUUGAAAAUCGAGUCCUUGGUAGGGUGUGCCAUGGUAGAUGGUGGUCGAGUUAGAACGAUACCGAUCAUGUGCAUGCUCCCCAAAAUAUGGCCUCUAUGACCCACACGCGUCUUUUGACGCUCAUGACGAGACCUCAGGUCAGGCGGGGCUACCCGCUGAAUUUAAGCAUAUCAAUAACGGAGGA
rnacentral:misc_RNA from 1 species